CCCUUAGAUGUUCUGGGCCGCACGCGCGCUACACUGACGAAUGCAACGAGCUUAUAACCUUGGCCGAAAGGUCUGGGUAAUCUCCAAAUUUCGUCGUGAUGGGGAUAGAUUAUUGCAAUUAUUAAUCUUCAACGAGGAAUGCCUAGUAAGCGCAAGUCAUCAGCUUGCGUUGAUUACGUCCCUGCCCUUUGUACACACCGCCCGUCGCUCCUACCGAUUGAAUGGUCCGGUGAAGCGCUCGGACCGCGGCCUCUUGACGGUUUUCCGUCGAUUGGCUGUGGGAAGUUCGUUAAACCUUAUCAUUUAGAGGAAGGAGACGUCGUAACA
rnacentral:rRNA from 1 species